UGGGGAAUUUUGGACAAUGGGCGAAAGCCUGAUCCAGCCAUGCCGCGUGAGUGAAGAAGGCCUUCGGGUUGUAAAGCUCUUUUAGUCGGAAAGAAAGAGUUGCAAUGAAUAAUUGUGAUUUAUGACGGUACCGACAGAAAAAGCACCGGCUAACUACGUGCCAGCAGCCGCGGUAAUACGUAGGGUGCGAGCGUUAAUCGGAAUUACUGGGCGUAAAGGGUGCGCAGGCGGUCUUGCAAGGCAGAUGUGAAAGCCCCGGGCUUAACCUGGGAAUUGCGUUUGAAACUACAAGGCUAGAGUGCAGCAGAGGGGAGUGGAAUUCCAUGUGUAGCAGUGAAAUGCGUAGAGAUGUGGAAGAACACCGAUGGCGAAGGCAGCUCCCUGGGUUGACACUGACGCUCAUGCACGAAAGCGUGGGGAGCAAACA
rnacentral:rRNA from 1 species